UGUGUUGAAACUUCAUGAUUGGUUAGCUGCAGAUUUAUCUGGCUGAGGCAGCUGUAGAAUUUGUGACAGAUUUGAGGGUUUGUUUCUCAUUUUUCUUUCCAUGUGUGGGAAUGAGAAUUGAAGAGAAAGCAGCAGUCUUUUUCUAUUUCAUCUUUGGUCCCCAUUUUCAUUGAGGAUUUUUGGUUAAUCCCCAAUAAUUUGUGAGUAUGAAAGUCACAAUUUACUUCUUAACUUCCAGGAUCUCUUGGACCAUAUGGAAAAGGACAAGUGUAAAUUCCUUCCACAGGUUGAUAAUCAACUCCUUGAUCAACGAAACUCCACCUACAGGGAACGUUUCGCUAGCUUGCAGAACUUGGUGCUUAUAAUGGUAUGGUCGAACACGAAUCAUAUAAGGUUUUUUGGCAACAUGAGCAUGUGAUAUUACAAUAAGCUAGAAUCAACUCUGCCAGGUAAUGCUCUCAUUUUUCAUUUUUUUUUUUGUGAUGAGUUUUCAGCACAAAAUCCUUUCAUGUCCGCAUCUUAUUCUAAUGUGCACUCACUAUUUAAAUCUGUGUUUUUUUUGACAAUUUUUAUUUGAUUAUGAAAAUCCUUUUGCAUCUGAUAUUUUUAAAGGGCAGUUCUGUUUUUGAUAUCGUUUACCCUCAUGUUCUUUUACAUGUAGAAAUGAAGUCGUUUAUACCUGAUGAAUCAUGCUCAUGCUGAGUAAAAUUUAGAUUUUAUAUGCGUUGGAGGUAUCUUAAUUGAGAACAUGAGGCAUUGAGGAUUCGAACUCUCUGUGUCACCACCUAAAGUCAUGGGAGUUUUCUGAGGAUUCUAGAUUUCUGCUCUGCUUUUGUCUGUUCACGUUUAUAUUUUGAUAUGCAUAUCAGGGCAGGAAUAUAACUGAUAAUGAUUGACUAAUCAAGUACUUAAAUAUUGAGACCCUGAUGUUCUUCCUUUUCUAA